UACGAAGGGGGCUAGCGUUGUUCGGAAUUACUGGGCGUAAAGCGCGCGCAGGCGGCUUUGCAAGUCAGGGGUGAAAGCCCAGAGCUCAACUCUGGAAUUGCCUUUGAGACUGCGAGGCUGGAGUACGGGAGAGGUGAGUGGAAUUCCCAGUGUAGAGGUGAAAUUCGUAGAUAUUGGGAAGAACACCAGUGGCGAAGGCGGCUCACUGGCCCGUUACUGACGCUCAUGCGCGACAGCGUGGGGAU
rnacentral:rRNA from 1 species